rnacentral:rRNA from 1 species
AGAGUUUGAUCCUGGCUCAGGAUGAACGCUAGCGGGAGGCCUAACACAUGCAAGCCGAGCGGUAUUUCUUCUUCGGAAGAGAGAGAGCGGCGUACGGGUGCGGAACACGUGUGCAACCUGCCUUUAUCUGGGGGAUAGCCUUUCGAAAGGAAGAUUAAUACCCCAUAAUAUAUUUGAUGGCAUCAUUAGAUAUUGAAAACUCCGGUGGAUAGAGAUGGGCACGCGCAAGAUUAGAUAGUUGGUGGGUAACGGCCCACCAAGUCGAUGAUCUUUAGGGGCCUGAGAGGGUGAUCCCCCACACUGGUACUGAGACACGGACCAGACUCCUACGGGAGGCAGCAGUGAGGAAUAUUGGACAAUGGGUGAGAGCCUGAUCCAGCCAUCCCGCGUGAAGGAAUAAGGUCCUAUGGAUUGUAAACUUCUUUUCUACAGGGAUAAACCUAUUUACGUGUAAAUAGCUGAAGGUACUGUAGGAAUAAGCACCGGCUAACUCCGUG